GAUGAACGCUGGCGGCGUGCCUAAUACAUGCAAGUCGAGCGAACAGACGAGGAGCUUGCUCCUCUGACGUUAGCGGCGGACGGGUGAGUAACACGUGGAUAACCUACCUAUAAGACUGGGAUAACUUCGGGAAACCGGAGCUAAUACCGGAUAAUAUAUUGAACCGCAUGGUUCAAUAGUGAAAGACGGUUUUGCUGUCACUUAUAGAUGGAUCCGCGCCGCAUUAGCUAGUUGGUAAGGUAACGGCUUACCAAGGCAACGAUGCGUAGCCGACCUGAGAGGGUGAUCGGCCAAACUGGAACUGAGACACGGUCCAGCCUCCUACGGGAGGCAGCAGUAGGAAAUCUUCCGAAAUGGGCGAAAGCCUGACGGGGAAACGCCGCGUGGGUGAUGAAGGUCUUCGGAUCGUAAACCUCUGUUAUUAGGGAAGAACAAAUGUGUAAGUAACUAUGCACGUCUUGACGGUACCAAACAAGAAAGCCACGGCUAACUACGU
rnacentral:rRNA from 1 species